UCGUAUAGUCCGUACCCCAAACCGACACAGGUGGACUGGCAGAGUAUGCUAAGGCGCUUGAGAGAACUGUAUUGAAGGAACUAGGCAAAUUGCCCUCGUAACUUCGGAAGAAGAGGGCCCGGUCUCUACGCAAGUAUUGGCCGGGGGCACAUAGCAGGGGGUGGCGACUGUUUACUAAAAACACAGGGCGCUGCGAAAUCCAAAGAUGACGUAUAGCGUCUGACGCCUGCCCGGUGCUGGAAGGUUAAGAGGAGAUGUGAAAGCGUUGAAUCGAAGCCCCAGUAAACGGCGGCCGUAACAAUAACGGUCCUAAGGUAGCGAAAUUCCUUGUCGGGUAAGUUCCGACCUGCACGAAAGGCGUAACGACUUCCCCACUGUCUCCAAUACAGGCUCAGCGAAAUUGAAUUCCCCGUGAAGAUGCGGGGUUCCCGCGGUCAGACGGAAAGACCCCGUGCACCUUUACUGCAACUUACACUGGCAUUAGGAAUGGGAUGUGUAGGAUAGGUGGUAGGCAUUGAAGCAGAGGCGCUAGCCUUUGUGGAGCCGUCCUUGAAAUACCACCCUUCUUGUUCCUGAUGUCUAACCGCGACCCGUCACCGGGUCCGAGACAGUGUAUGGUAGGCAGUUUGACUGGGGCGGUCGCCUCCCAAAGAGUAACGGAGGCGCGCGAUGGUAGGCUCAAUCCGGUCGGAAAUCGGAUGUUGAGUGCAAUGGCAAAAGCCUGCCUGACUGCAAGGUCGACGGACCAAGCAGAGACGAAAGUCGGUCAUAGUGAUCCGGUGAUCCCGAGUGGAAGGGUCAUCGCUCAACGGAUAAAAGGUACGCCGGGGAUAACAGGCUGAUCGCACCCAAGCGUCCAUAGCGACGGUGCGGUUUGGCACCUCGAUGUCGGCUCAUCACAUCCUGGGGCUGUAGCCGGUCCCAAGGGUAUGGCUGUUCGCCAUUUAAAGUGGUACGUGAGCUGGGUUUAGAACGUCGUGAGACAGUUCGGUCCCUAUCUGCCGUGGGUGUUCGAAACUUGAGAGGACUUUUUCCUAGUACGAGAGGACCGGAAAGAACGUAUCUCUGGUGGAUCGGUUGUCACGCCAGUGGCAUAGCCGAGUAGCUAAAUACGGACAAGAUAACCGCUGAAAGCAUCUAAGCGGGAAACUUACCUCAAAACCAGGUUUCGCUUGAGAGCCGGGGAAGACUACCCCGUCGAUAGGCCAGGUGUGUAAGCGCGGCAACGCGUUGAGCUUACUGGUACUAAUCGCUCCAAA
rnacentral:rRNA from 1 species